rnacentral:lncRNA from 1 species
UGUCACUGACGACCAUUGGUGAUCAGGCAAGAGGUGAGACUGGAGGUGAGGUCUUAGCCAGAGCCUCAUUGAUGGGAAUAGCAGCAUAGAUCAGCUCCUGGCCCCUCAUCAAAUAUACUGGUUGGUCUCACACACACACACAGACCACUGAUUACAUUAUCAAUGGUGGUUAUGAUUAGCCUGGUGAAACCGACCUGAUCGCUGUGUUCACCUUUCUAUUUCACUUCAGAUAUCUUCUAAUGUGAUGUGAAAUAGAUUGAUGAACACAGGGAUCAGGCUGGUUCCACCUGAUUAGGUAAUGACCUGGACAUUAUAUGGUGAACACAGGGCUCAGGCUGAUUCCUCCUGGUUAGGUAAUGACCUGGACAUUAUAUGGUGAACACAGGGCUCAGGCUGGUUCCACCAGGUUAGGUAAUGACCUGGACAUUAUAUGGUGAACACAGGGCUCAGGCUGGUUCCACCAGGUUAGGUAAUGACCUGGACAUUAUAUGGUGAACACAGGGCUCAGGCUGGUUCCACCAGGUUAGGUAAUGACCUGGACAUUAUAUGGUGAACACAGGGCUCAGGCUGGUUCCACCAGGUUAGGUAAUGACCUGGACAUUAUAUGGUGAACACAGGGCUCAGGCUAGUUCCACCAGGUUAGGUAAUGACCUGAACAUUAUAUGCAUCUAAGAAGUAGAAAAUAAGCAAGCAAAUAAUGCCAGUUUAUAUACAUUAUGUUUCACUAUUGGGUUUUCAAAUGUAUCAAAGUAAUGAAGUGGGUUACCUUCUGUAUUUGUACAAAUGAUGAGCCUGUGAAAGCUGUUGUCGAUGACAGGUUUGUCUAACCGGAUACUUGCCAACAUGUGGCUGACUGUUCCAUUCAUAGGAAUGCUCACAGUGAAGUCAAGUCUGUAUGAUACUGAUGAAAGUCUUCACUAUGCUGCAUGUUCUGCUGCCAUCUGGACAUGUCUCCAACAACUGCAACAGGAAAUCUGAUGAGGUGGUGUUGGCUGGGAGGGCCUGUGACAGGGUCAUAUAAUAGAGAGCCAAGUGGUCAAUUGCAUUUUG